GGAUGUGGCUCAGGGGUAGAGUAUCUGCUUGGCAUGCAGAAGAUACCAGGUUCAAUCCCUGGCAUGUCCA
rnacentral:tRNA from 1 species